rnacentral:lncRNA from 1 species
UUGAAAGUGAAUAUUCCAAUUUUAACUUUUUUUAAUCUCCAGAUCUUGUAUCCCAAAUUUCAGACAAUCGCUCCUUGGUUGCAGACGUGGGGAUCUCUCGUCAUAACUGGUAAGACUCUUCGUCUUCUUCCUCCCCCGGGAACCCUAUCUCUUUUGAAAUCACAUAAGUUUGGGAGUAGUAGAAAAUGUGAGUAGUGAAACUGAGAAAGUCGUGGAACAGUUUAGAUCCGAAAUUUGAAAACUUUGAUAGUACUAAAAACUAAGGGUGGCUCUUGUUGAAAUUUGGAAACUUUGAUCACAACAACUAGGGCAACGAUGUGAUCUCCUGUAUACUAAUCAGUUCUAUAUUUCCUAUAUAAUGAAAACUAAACGGUAGAGGAAAUAAUCUUCGAUAUACCGUUUAUAGAGAUAUAUUUUUGUAGGUUCUAAGCAAUAAAAUUAAGCAAAAGAGGAAACAAAAAGCUGAGAGAUGGGAGGUGCCUGCUGAAUUUUUAAUGUGUUUAAAAGCUUUCAAAUUUUCAUACUAACAGGUUAGACCUGUCACUGAAGAUGACAUAUUUAAAGGGCUUAAAGCUGGUUUAAGGAAGAAUUAAGUAUUUUCCUAAUGUUCUUCUAGGUUAUUGAGCUUCAUUUGCCUAUUUGUUUUCGGACUGUUUUGUCCAUGGGAGGUUUACCUUAUGAAAAUUUGAGGCCUGACCCUGUUCUGAUUUACACACAAACUAUGAGAAUAUAUCACCCUUUACAAAGCUAUUGUAGAAACUUCAGAUAAAUUUACCCAACUCGACUGAGAUGAACUCAAAUGGGGAACAUGGUCAGUGAUGACUCAUAUCGCCGACCCCAGCUUAUUGGCCUGUCUUAAGCACUCAUCAACUGGCUUUUAAAUCAACUUUGAGUGAUAUAUUCCUCCUGCUACCUAAAGUGAUAGUCGCAAUGACAUUUACAAAGUAUAUAGAAUCAAUUAGAAAGUAUAUAUAAUCAGACAGAAUGGUGCUUGAAAUCCUGCACCUACUGCUUCAGUUACGUAACUCGAUUUAGCUAUUAAUAUAUACAGGUUCCUUCUGUCAAAGCACGUAGUUAUCAUCUCCAAAUAAUUGGUGGCGAGGAUCUUGGAUCCUGAAGGGAGAUUAUGGUUUCAAAAGCACCCACCAAAGCCUUGACCUUGCUUCUCCUGGUCUCGACAAGUUUGGUUGCAGUCUCUUC